CAAAGUCCCUAGCUGGUUUGCCUUCUUCUCUCUGCUUUCAGAUGCUUGUUUUAUAGGCAGUAUCUAGGGUUUUUAGCCAUAUUUACUGGAAAGAAUAGGAAAAAACACAUCUACUCCAUAUUUCUGAGAGUUGAGGUGUCAUAGGUUGAUUUAACCAUGCCACUGAUGCCUUUAGCUCUAUCUGCCAUGCAGCAGGUAUCUUCUAGGUCCUUCAUGGGGACCAGGCACUAGUUGAGGCCAAAGAGGAGACAAAGACUGACUCUGACUUCAGGAGCUCACAGUUUUGCGGGAACACAGGACUUUGCCCCAGAAUGGUGCCAUAAACACGCAGAGAGAGAAGACAGAGAGGGGAACCAAUCUUUGGAAUAAGAGGAUGAGAUUUUGGCCACUGGUACCCAGAGGCCCUUCUUCAGAGAAUGAUGCAAUGAGACCGAGGUGAAUAUUUUCUCUGAGCACUGAAGUUUCAGAUCAAAUAAGCAACAGAUUUCUGCUCUGUGAAAGCCCUGUAGUCGAAAGGCAGUACAUUGCAAAUUUCAAAGAAUAAGGCACUAUCCUCUACUUUUGAGAGAAAGAAAUGGAAGUCACACGCCAAAAAGUUGAAGUCUCUCCUAGACUCAGAUGUCCUCAGUCUUCAUCACUCUCUCUGGGUCUGAUGGUCAGGAGGCCUAAUGCUCAAGCUGUAAGGCGAGGCUCCUUAGAACCACUUGAGUCACCUGUCCGAAGCUGAAUUGCAUGAUGGCUUCAUUCAGAGCCACCCAAAUCAUUCUGGCCAAUCACGGGCAACUGUGGAUGGUUCAAUGGCACCUUCCUUUCAGAGAAUAGAAGUCCCAGGAGGGCAGGGGUCUUUGUCUGAUUUGUUCACUGAAGAAUCCCAGGUGUCUAAUAGGCUGCUGGUAUAUAGUAGAUGCUAAAUAAAUACUGGUUAAAUAAAUGAAGGAUUGCAAUGGGUUUGGGGGAAGUCUGAGGCCAGGGUUAGGGGUCACACCAAGGUCAGGUUUUUAAAGUAUAGGAUCCCAUUUUUGGUACUGAAACGUGGUUGGGGUAUUUAGGGGUCUGCCUAUUGGGACAAAGGUUUCUUGGAGGACAUCGCACACCUCUCAACCUGAGGACUCCUUAUGGGCUCAGGGGAGCAGCUACUGGCUGAGAUUUUU
rnacentral:lncRNA from 1 species